UGACUAAUUUGUAUUAUGCCUAAUGUCUGAGUUGUGUUCAUGGUAAUUAUUUCUGACAUUUUUAUGCUUUAUGUUGUAGGUGGUGAAAAAUGCUCUCCAGGGUAAACCGGGUGGACAAAGUAUUUUGGCUGGGAAAACCAGGCAUUCUUCUGUUGGUUCAUGUGCUUCGUCCUGCAUCCAACGGCCACAAGAAGAAUCCAAAACAGCUCAUGUCAAACUGUGGACCAUGUUUUCAGAUAUGUGCAGAUGCAAGCCAGUGUUGAAGCCUUCCUCAUUGYCGUGCAACCAGGACAGCCCUUCCUCCUGCAUGUUGGUGAAAACAAGAGCAGCACCAAAGACACUUCAUCAUCAGUGAUCACAAGAUCAUCCAAGGACUUGGUUUAUUACAGUCCCUGUGGCAAGCAGUUUUCUGCAUGGUCAGCAUUGAAGGCCAUAUUGUCUUUGAGAGGGUCCAGCUGACAUUCCAGACAGGACAGCGUUGUCCAUGUUCUACAUCUUCAACCUCCAAUAUCAACAUGAGACAGCCAAGACUUUGGAGUUCAUUCAACGUCGCUUCAUUGAGAUUAACCCAGAAAGGGGCACAAAAGCCGGUCAUGGGAAGAUGGUAUCCAAAAAGACUGGAAAGACCAUUCAAAAGAAAAAGUGACAGUCAAUGUUCAGGUUUCCACCCUCAUCAAAAACCUGAUGGACUUUGAGUGGCAUCUCAUUCAGUAAGUGCCACUUGGACUCUUGAAAACCAUUAAUAGUUCACAUUUUAAAACCCUGUUAAUACUAAAGUUCCACAUUAUUUCAGCCAUGUUGAAUUUUAGAUUUUGGAAGUCCUUUUUCAUUGAUUUGCUUAAUGAUAACCAAAGCAUGGAUAUUUCUUUUAGAACUGUGUUUUUAUGUUCAUAAGAUUGUAUAAAUUAAUUAGUUAAAUCCAGUUUCCAACUAGAUGUUACCUGACUUAAUAUCUGUGUUUAACUGUCAUUUGGGAAAGCCUAAAUGAGUCAGGUGUUCUCCCUUGGUAUGCUAAACCUGGACCAGGUGGCAGCAGGCGAGGGGAGCUGCGUUUUAGGAGAGCAGACGUCACCGAAAACGUCGGACAGAUAUUGCAAUUAGGUGAUGCACUGAUGAACCGAGCAGAAAUGUGAGAUUUAUAUAUCUACAUUCUCGCCUACAAACAUU